CCUGCAUGGACUCCCGAGGUAUUCCAUGGAGCAGAGUUAAAGUCCUUCCACAAGUGUGUCCACCUACUGAUCCAGGUGGCAGCCACAUGCCCAGGUGAAAACUCUGGGGUCUGUCAUAGAUGGAAGAUGGGGCUCAUAGACACUGAAACAAUUGACAGUCUCUGCCUGAUAGUAAAAUUCUGCAUGGCUACAAUAAUUAAAAUUCUGGCAUGUUAUAUUUCAAAAUAUAGAAGGGAAGUUAAAGAGAAACCUUUGAAGUACUGAGAGAUGAACAGAGAAACAGUGGAGAAUUUGGAGGAAUUUGUAAAGAAUAAGCUGAUAAGUGUACACUUAGGUGCUCUUUAUCCUGAGUCCACCCAAGGAGGAUUAUGGCUGACCCAUACUGCCUGUGAUGAGAAGCAAAAAGAUCCGGGCAAAGGCAACUCUCUUAUCUUCAAGGUAAGCCACAUUCCGCAACAUCGCUGUCAUCAGAAAU
rnacentral:lncRNA from 1 species